rnacentral:rRNA from 1 species
CAGCCGCCGCGGUAAUACCAGCACCUCGAGUGGUCAGGAGGUUUAUUGGGCCUAAAGCAUCCGUAGCCGGUUGCAUAAGUUUUCGGUUAAAUCUAUGCGCUUAACGUAUAGGCCGCCGAAAAUACUGUGCAGCUAGGGAGUGGGAGAGGUACACGGUACUCGAUAGGAAGGGGUAAAAUCCUUUGAUCUAUUGAUGACCACCUGUGGCGAAGGCGGUGUACCAGAACACGUUCGACGGUGAGGGAUGAAAGCUGGGGGAGCAAACCGGAUUAGAUACCCCCGUAGUCCCUGUCUCUUAUAC